AAUCAACGCUGGCGGCGUGCCUAACACAUGCAAGUCGCACGAGAAAGUGGAGCAAUCCAUGAGUAAAGUGGCGCACGGGUGAGUAACACGUGACUAACCUACCCUCGAGUGGGGAAUAACCUAGAGAAAUCUGGGCUAAUACCGCAUAACACUUACGAGUCAAAGCAGCAAUGCGCUUGAGGAGGGGGUCGCGGCCGAUUAGUUAGUUGGCGGGGUAAUGGCCCACCAAGACGAUGAUCGGUAUCCGGCCUGAGAGGGCGCACGGACACACUGGAACUGAAACACGGGCCAGACUCCUACGGGAGGCAGCAGUGAGGAAUAUUGGUCAAUGGGCGCAAGCCUGAACCAGCCAUGCCGCGUGCAGGAUGAAGCAUCUAUGGUGUGUAAACUGCUUUUGUACAGGAAGAAACACCUCUUCGAGAAGAGACUUGACGGUACUGUAAGAAUAAGGAUCGGCUAACUCCGUGCCAGCAGCCGCGGUAAUACGGAGGAUCCAAGCGUUAUCCGGAAUCAUUGGGUUUAAAGGGUCCGUAGGCGGCUAUAUAAGUCAGCGGUGAAAGUUUUUGGCUUAACCAAAAAAUUGCCAUUGAUACUGUAUGGCUUGAAUAAUUGUGAAGUAACUAGAAUAUGUAGUGUAGCGGUGAAAUGCAUAGAUAUUACAUGGAAUACCAAUUGCGAAGGCAGGUUACUAACAAUAUAUUGACGCUGAUGGACGAAAGCGUGGGUAGCGAACAGGAUUAGAUACCCCGGUAGUCCACGCCGUAAACGAUGGAUACUAGCUGUUUGGGCGUAAGCUUGAGUGGCUAAGCGAAAGUGAUAAGUAUCCCACCUGGGGAGUACGUUCGCAAGAAUGAAACUCAAAGGAAUUGACGGGGGCCCGCACAAGCGGUGGAGCAUGUGGUUUAAUUCGAUGAUACGCGAGGAACCUUACCAGGGCUUAAAUGUAGUUUGACCGCUUAGGAAACUAGGCUUUCGCAAGACAAAAUACAAGGUGCUGCAUGGUUGUCGUCAGCUCGUGCCGUGAGGUGUCAGGUUAAGUCCUAUAACGAGCGCAACCCCUGUUGUUAGUUGCCAGCACGUAAUGGUGGGAACUCUAACAAGACUGCCAGUGUAAACUGCGAGGAAGGUGGGGAUGACGUCAAAUCAUCACGGCCCUUACGUCCUGGGCCACACACGUGCUACAAUGGGCGGUACAGAGAGCAGCUACCUAGUGAUAGGAUGCGAAUCUAUAAAACCGUUCUCAGUUCGGAUCGGAGUCUGCAACUCGACUCCGUGAAGCUGGAAUCGCUAGUAAUCGGAUAUCAGCCAUGAUCCGGUGAAUACGUUCCCGGGCCUUGU
rnacentral:rRNA from 1 species